CGGUUUAGUGGUUAAUGACGUUGACUUUUGUGCUGUAGGGCCUGGGUUCGAAUCCCGGAGA
rnacentral:tRNA from 1 species